GCUGUUUUUAGAAUCUCUCUGUGAGUCCAUUCUGCUGCCGGGACACGGAGCACAGCUAGCUCCCUCCUCCUGCAGGAGAACCCCUUCCCUGCCUUCCAGGGACUUGCUCUUGCAGAUGGAGCCCCUUUCCCAGGAUUGAUCAGGAAGAACAAUAUGCAGUAAGCAUACCGAUACAGGAACCUGAUGCAGGAUUACCAGAACUGGAGGACAGCCGAUGCAAGAAACAUAAAAGUGCUCUGAGAUGGAAUUAUAAAUGACGUGCAUCACACGGGUGAAAGGGUGUAGCCCAGCUUUGUGGCCCGUGCUGCCAGAGACAGGCUCCAGGACCGAUGGAUGGACCAGGUCACAGACUAACAGCCCACAUGACUUCCCACCUUGCCGGCAGCAGCUGAAGUGAAAUAAUGAGUGUUUAUACAAAAGAGACAAGGGGACAAGCUCAGGAACAUUCAUUCUGGACUGAAGUGGAUCUCUUCACUUUGAUUGCUCAAUAAAAAGGUACCUCCAAUCUGUUCACACUUUCUGGCAAUUUCUCUGUACCUUUUCAUUAAAGGCUGACAGCUCUAAGUCCAGCUGGGUGUUGGCAGGUGCUCAAGCAGAUAUAAAUGCUUGGAUCACAUCCCAUUUUGGUAUAUUCAAGAUUCCACCGGUUUUACUUGGUCACAUACAGAAAAGGAUCUUGGUAGAGGUGCAAGACAAAAUCCACCUCCUGUAUUGGACAACAGUAGAAGAGGACUGUGUCAGCAGUGGAUGGUCAUCAUGGUUCUUACAGAGGAAUACCAUCACCAGGAAUGAACACUGACAAGAUGAAGCAUGAUAAUAUUAAUAAUAAUAAUAAUUAUCAUUAUGUGCUUUUAACUCCGGUAUUUUUUAAAUGGUAUUGUCAAGAACUACUAUAUGUUUGAUUGAUGGCUAAUGGAGGCAGUAUCUCUGAUCAGCAUCCUAUAAGUCGUUUCUUUUUCAAUUUACCAGUCAGUCUCUUCUAAUUUUCCCAGUCUGGUUCUUUAACUUUUCUCUUUCCAAUGAAGAAUAAAGUGGUCUGGAGAAGCAAGGAGCCCACAAUUUCCUUCAACAGUUUCACACCUUGAGCAUGAACAUGUUUUCGACGGGCUCAAAUAGUUUCGGGGAUGACAGCUGAGCCGCGGGUGUGAAACCGGCAGUAAGGAGGGAGUGCCGGGGAAGCUCUCACUCAUUCAUUGUGCUUCGCCCAGCUGCCUCUCUCAUCUUUUGUCUUUGCUAGAAACACAGUGAAACAGCGAGGCAGAGAGAGAGAAACCAGAAAGGCCACCCUUACUAUGAAGAGGAAAAGGAGAAGUAUGUAAACUGGCACAAAUCGACAGAGGCUCUGCAACUUACAAAAUGGGAUGAACAUGGAUU